AGAGUUUGAUCAUGGCUCAGGACGAACGCUGGCGGCGUGCUUAACACAUGCAAGUCGAACGAUGAAGCCUUUCGGGGUGGAUUAGUGGCGAACGGGUGAGUAACACGUGGGCAAUCUGCCCUUCACUCUGGGACAAGCCCUGGAAACGGGGUCUAAUACCGGAUAACACUCUGUCCCGCAUGGGACGGGGUUAAAAGCUCCGGCGGUGAAGGAUGAGCCCGCGGCCUAUCAGCUUGUUGGUGGGGUAAUGGCCUACCAAGGCGACGACGGGUAGCCGGCCUGAGAGGGCGACCGGCCACACUGGGACUGAGACACGGCCCAGACUCCUACGGGAGGCAGCAGUGGGGAAUAUUGCACAAUGGGCGAAAGCCUGAUGCAGCGACGCCGCGUGAGGGAUGACGGCCUUCGGGUUGUAAACCUCUUUCAGCAGGGAAGAAGCGAAAGUGACGGUACCUGCAGAAGAAGCGCCGGCUAACUACGUGCCAGCAGCCGCGGUAAUACGUAGGGCGCAAGCGUUGUCCGGAAUUAUUGGGCGUAAAGAGCUCGUAGGCGGCUUGUCACGUCGGAUGUGAAAGCCCGGGGCUUAACCCCGGGUCUGCAUUCGAUACGGGCUAGCUAGAGUGUGGUAGGGGAGAUCGGAAUUCCUGGUGUAGCGGUGAAAUGCGCAGAUAUCAGGAGGAACACCGGUGGCGAAGGCGGAUCUCUGGGCCAUUACUGACGCUGAGGAGCGAAAGCGUGGGGAGCGAACAGGAUUAGAUACCCUGGUAGUCCACGCCGUAAACGUUGGGAACUAGGUGUUGGCGACAUUCCACGUCGUCGGUGCCGCAGCUAACGCAUUAAGUUCCCCGCCUGGGGAGUACGGCCGCAAGGCUAAAACUCAAAGGAAUUGACGG
rnacentral:rRNA from 1 species